rnacentral:rRNA from 1 species
CCCUUAGAUGUUCUGGGCCGCACGCGCGCUACACUGAUGCAUUCAACGAGCCUAUCCUUGACCGACAGGUCCGGGUAAUCUUUGAAUCUGCAUCGUGACGGGGAUAGAUUAUUGCAAUUAUUAAUCUUCAACGAGGAAUGCCUAGUAGGCGCAAGUCAUCAGCUUGCGUCGAUUACGUCCCUGCCCUUUGUACACACCGCCCGUCGCUCCUACCGAUUGGGUGUGCUGGUGAAAUGUUCGGAUCGGCCGUUUGUCGCGGUUUCCGCGUCAUGUGGCUGAGAAGUUCAUUAAACCCUCCCACCUAGAGGACGGAGAAGUCGUAACA